UACGUAGGUGGCAAGCGUUGUCCGGAAUUAUUGGGCGUAAAGCGCGCGCAGGCGGUCCCUUAAGUCUGAUGUGAAAAGCCCACGGCUCAACCGUGGAGGGUCAUUGGAAACUGGGGGACUUGAGUACAGAAGAGGAAAGCGGAAUUCCACGUGUAGCGGUGAAAUGCGUAGAGAUCCGGAAGAACACCGGUGGCGAAGGCGGUCUGCUGGGCCGUGGGAUCGUAAGGUCCCUCAAGCCGACACUGAGGCGCGACAGCGUGGGGAGCAAACAGGG
rnacentral:rRNA from 1 species